AAUAAAGACGGCAGGCUUGACUCUGGGAAUUACAAUGAAGAAGUCUUUGUAAAAUAUAAAGAACUAAAUUUCCAAUUCAAAACCAGAAAAGAGUACCAUGAAUCUUCAAUCAUUUUUGUCAAAAAAAUUUUCUGAUGUGAAAUGUGAAUGAGUUCAGUCACGGUACAAUAUUCAUCAUUUAAAUUUCUGAUACCUAGUGAUGAAUAUGAUAAAGUUAAUGAAUCUUUUUUUUUUAAUGAAUUAUAAUAUUCAAUCAAGUUGGCCAAACAGAGCAAGUGUUCAUAAUUUUUGAGUGUUGUUGAACACUGGUGUAGUGAUCAAUGUUUAAGUGUAGCAAAUUUUCGGGGAUAUAUUUGAGAAAUUUAGCUUCUGUCGUUUUGACUAGGGUUGGCUUGAACGUUAAGAAUAUUCAGAUAACUACGAUAUCUGAAUAGAUGAAAUGAAACAUUCGGAUAUUGUGACGAAAUGAUUGGCUUGGAGAACGAGCUCUCAAAAGACCAAUACAAUGUUGCUAUUUGUUUAGAAUUCAUCGUAAACAAUGUUUGUAUCUUCAUGUACCUUCAACAUGGAUGAUGUGAUGGACAAGUCCACCUUAGUUUGCAGUGUUCUACCUAUCCUAGCAACCAGGUCACCUCCUGUUGAAGUACCCUGUACAUAUGCAAAACGGCGUAAUUUGAAAGCAAGGUUCAAAGUCGACCCACGAGAGUGCAACGUCGUAGCAACUCACUAGAUGAAAGGUUUCCAGAAGAAUCAAGUAGAGAAUUCAAUAUCAAGCGGCUAACCCAAGAAAAAAACCGAGACAAUCCUAAUGAGAAGACUAUCGACAUGGAAGUGCGUCCAGAAAAGGACAUACUCAUUCGCAAAAUCAUUGAACUGAUAAAAAGUGCUAAAAACCCAAACAUUUGCUAUUUCGAAACUAUGACUAAUUUGA